GUGAGGAAUAUUGCGCAAUGGAGGCAACUCUGACGCAGCCAUGCCGCGUGCAGGAAGAAGGCGCUACGCGCUGUAAACUGCUUUUAACCGGGAAGAAACCCCAGGACGUGUCCUGGGUUGACGGUACCGGAGGAAUAAGCACCGGCUAACUUCGUGCCAGCAGCCGCGGUAAUACGAAGGGUGCAAGCGUUAUCCGGAUUCAUUGGGUUUAAAGGGUGCGUAGGCGGAGCGUUAAGUCAGUGGUGAAAUCCUGCAGCUUAACUGUAGACUUGCCAUUGAUACUGGCGCUCUUGAGUGCGCUUGAAGUGGGCGGAAUGUGCCGUGUAGCGGUGAAAUGCUUAGAUAUGGCACAGAACACCAAUUGCGAAGGCAGCUCACUAAGGCGAUACUGACGCUGAGGCACGAAAGCGUGGGGAUCGAACAGGAUUAGAAACCCCAGUAGUCC
rnacentral:rRNA from 1 species